rnacentral:misc_RNA from 1 species
GAUGAAGAACGCAGCGAAAUGCGAUACAUAAUGUGAAUUGCAGAAUUCAGUGAAUCAUCGAAUCUUUGAACGCAUAUUGCGCUCUCUGGUAUUCCGGAGAGCAUGCUUGUUUGAGUAUCAGUAAACACCUCAACUCCCUUUUCUUUUUUGAAAUGGGAGCUGGACUUGAGUGAUCCCAACACUUUUCUCACUGGAAAGUGGCGGGUCACUUGAAAUGCAGGUGCAGCUGGACUUUUCUCUGAGCUAUAAGCAUAUCUAUUUAGUCUGCCUAAAAAACACAUUAUUACCUUUGCUGCAGCUAACAUAAAGGAGAUGAGUUCUUGUGCUGACUGAUGCAGGAUUCACAGAGACAGCUUUGCGGCUGACUUUGUAAACUCGAUCUCAAAUCAAGUAAGACUACCCGCUGAACUUAAGCAUAUCAAUAAGCGGAGGA